rnacentral:rRNA from 1 species
GUACGGGUUGUGAGAGCAAGAGCCCGGAGAUGGAUUCUGAGACACGAAUCCAGGCCCUACGGGGUGCAGCAGGCGCGAAAACUUUACAAUGCUGGCAACAGCGAUAAGGGAACCUCGAGUGCCAGGUUACAAAUCUGGCUGUCGAGAUGCCUAAAAAGCAUUUCAUAGCAAGGGCCGGGCAAGACCGGUGCCAGCCGCCGCGGUAACACCGGCGGCUCGAGUGGUAACCGUUAUUAUUGGGUCUAAAGGGUCUGUAGCCGGCCGGAUAAGUCUCUUGAGAAAUCUGGCAGCUUAACUGUCAGGCUUUCGGGAGAUACUGUCUGGCUCGAGGCCGGGAGAGGUGAGAGGUACUUCAGGGGUAGGGGUGAAAUCUUGUAAUCCUUGAAGGACCACCAGUGGCGAAGGCGUCUCACCAGAACGGACCUGACGGCAAGGGACGAAAGCUAGGGGCACGAACCGGAUUAGAUACCCGGGUAGUCCUAGCCGUAAACGAUACUCGCUAGGUGUCGGCCACGGUGCGACCGUUGUCGGUGCCGUAGGGAAGCCGUGAAGCGAGC